rnacentral:rRNA from 1 species
UUGGAGGGCAAGUCUGGUGCCAGCAGCCGCGGUAAUUCCAGCUCCAAUAGCGUAUAUUAAAGUUGUUGCAGUUAAAAAGCUCGUAGUUGAAUUUCGGGAUCAGUUGGUCGGUCGUGCCUCGGUACGUACUGGUCAAAUUGAUUCCUACCUUCUGACGAACCACGAUGUCAUUAAUUUGGUGUCGCGGGAAAUCAGGACUGUUACUUUGAAAAAAUUAGAGUGUUUAAAGCAGGCUCGCGCUUGAAUACAUUAGCAUGGAAUAAUGAAAUAGGACGUUUGAUUCUAUUUUGUUGGUUUCUAGGAUCGACGUAAUGAUUAAUAGGGAUAGUUGGGGGCAUUAGUAUUCAAUUGUCAGAGGUGAAAUUCUUGGAUUUAUUGAAGACUAACUACUGCGAAAGCAUUUGCCAAGGAUGUUUUCAUUAAUCAAGAACGAAAGUUAGGGGAUCGAAGACGAUCAGAUACCGUCGUAGUCUUAACCAUAAACUAUGCCGACUAGGGAUCGGAUGAUGUUAAUUUUUUAAUGACUCAUUCGGCGCCUUACGGGAAACA